CUACGGUGGGCAGCAGUGGGGAAUAUUGGACAAUGGGCGAAAGCCUGAUCCAGCCAUGCCGCGUGUGUGAAGAAGGCCUUCGGGUUGUAAAGCACUUUCAGUGGGGAAGAAAGCCUUGGGGCUAAUACCCUCGAGGAAGGACAUCACCCACAGAAGAAGCACCGGCUAACUCCGUGCCAGCAGCCGCGGUAAUACGGAGGGUGCGAGCGUUAAUCGGAAUUACUGGGCGUAAAGCGCGCGUAGGCGGUCUGAUAAGCCGGUUGUGAAAGCCCCGGGCUCAACCUGGGAACGGCAUCCGGAACUGUCAGGCUAGAGUGCAGGAGAGGAAGGUAGAAUUCCCGGUGUAGCGGUGAAAUGCGUAGAGAUCGGGAGGAAUACCAGUGGCGAAGGCGGCCUUCUGGACUGACACUGACGCUGAGGUGCGAAAGCGUGGGUAGCAAACAGGAUUAGAUACCCCAGUAGUC
rnacentral:rRNA from 1 species